rnacentral:rRNA from 1 species
AACUUUCAACAACGGAUCUCUUGGUUCUGGCAUCGAUGAAGAACGCAGCGAAAUGCGAUAAGUAAUGUGAAUUGCAGAAUUCAGUGAAUCAUCGAAUCUUUGAACGCACAUUGCGCCCGACGGUAUUCCGUCGGGCAUGCCUGUCCGAGCGUCAU